rnacentral:rRNA from 1 species
UUUAACUGAAGAGUUUGAUCAUGGCUCAGAUUGAACGCUGGCGGCAGGCUUAACACAUGCAAGUCGAGCGGGGGAAGGUAGCUUGCUACCGGACCUAGCGGCGGACGGGUGAGUAAUGCUUAGGAAUCUGCCUAUUAGUGGGGGACAACAUCUCGAAAGGGAUGCUAAUACCGCAUACGUCCUACGGGAGAA